UGGGUCAAGAUGUACAAUGCCUCAAAGGGUAUUGCUAAAUCACCAGGUUUUAAACAAUUGACGAUAUUGUGUGAUGAGGUACAUGAAAGACAUAGUUGAAUGUGAAAAUCCACAGUUGGAGAAGAUGUUUGCAGGAACAAUCAAGAAUCAAUAUUACAACCAAUCUCAAUAUGAUGAAGUCAGAAGUGAAUGGAG